rnacentral:rRNA from 1 species
UUUGAUUCCAUGGCUCAGGACGAACGCUGGCGGCGUGCUUAACACAUGCAAGUCGAGCGGUAAGGCCCUUCGGGGUACACGAGCGGCGAACGGGUGAGUAACACGUGGGUAACCUGCCCUGUACUCUGGGAUAAGCCUUGGAAACGAGGUCUAAUACCGGAUACGACCUGGGAUCGCAUGAUUCCGGGUGGAAAGUUCCGGCGGUAUGGGAUGGACCCGCGGCCUAUCAGCUUGUUGGUGGGGUAAUGGCCUACCAAGGCGACGACGGGUAGCCGGCCUGAGAGGGUGACCGGCCACACUGGGACUGAGACACGGCCCAGACUCCUACGGGAGGCAGCAGUGGGGAAUAUUGCACAAUGGGCGAAAGCCUGAUGCAGCGACGCCGCGUGAGGGAUGACGUCCUUCGGGUUGU